rnacentral:lncRNA from 1 species
UUGUAGUUUUAACAAAAAUUAAAAUCUACAUACUACUGUUCAGAAAACUUUUUUUUGAUUGGUAGCAUUAUAAAAAGUGAUGAAGAGCGUAGUCAAGGGUCUUUCUCUACAUAUGGAAAAUUAGAAAAAUAAAACUGGAGUACCUACCGAGAACAACAACCCUGACUUCAGCGGUAUCUGAUCCGUAUUGAUUUUUGGCUGUGAGUGUAUAGGUUCCAGAGUCACUUCUCUUGGAGUCGAUAACUUUGAGUCGCGUGCUAUAGUCUUCAUUUGAGACUUUGAUGCGGUCUGUAUUGAGCACGAUGUUUUCUUUGAGAUACCAUUCCUUCCUUGGAGGCGGCUCACCACUUACCGCAACAUCAUACUCGAAGUUCUGGCCAGCCUUGAUCUUAACAGUGGUCAAAUUGGUCCUAUCAAUGUAUGGUGCUGAAUUCCUUGACUUGGCUGUAAUGGUCGGAGUCGGGUCACUGGCUUCUCCGGGCCCAGCGGCAUUGAUUGCGCGAACCUGGAAGACAUAGCCUUCACCCUCCUUGAGCCCUGGAACGGUGACAUUAGUGAUGCUUGCUGGCACAGUGGCCACCUUCUCCCAUUCUCCAGUCUUGUCUUUCAUCUCGACGACGUAACCUGUCACAGGCGAGCCACCGUCGGACUUUGGAGGCAUCCAUUUCAGAUCUACGUGGUCUUUGUCCCAGUCGGUUGCCUCUAGGUUGCGUGGCUUUUCCGGCUCAUCUGUAUGCAGAAAAUAGUCAGGUUACAGAAAGUGGGACCAAGAGGGAAGUACAAGGAUGAUGUAAUACAUGGCAUUCAUUAAGGUUACAUUUUCAAGGUAAAAAAUAAAAAUUAUAAAUGAAAAGCCUUUAAAAGUGUGAGGAGUUUAAAGAGAGCAAGAUAACUGUAUUUAAACAUACAUCCUCAUACCUCUUUCAUGAAAUAAUGUUCCAUUUUUAAAAGACAAAACUUUUGUGAUUAGGAAGUUUUGGGAAAAGUGUUCCUGAUUGUGAGACUUGUA